rnacentral:rRNA from 1 species
UGAGCAAUCUGCCCUUCUCAUCGGAAUAAGCGUUGGGAACGACGUCUAAUGCCGAAUACGACCUCCUUUCGCAUGAUCGGAGGUGGAAAGCUCCGGCGGAGAAGGAUGAGCUCGCGGCCUAUCAGCUAGUUGGUGUGGGUAAUGGCCCACCAAGGCGACGACGGGUAGCCGGCCUGAGAGGGUGACCGGCCACACGUGGGACUGAGACACGGCCCAGACCUCCGUACGGGAGCA